CAAGACGGAACAAGACAAGACAAGACAGAGCUUCUUGUCUCGUCUCACUUGGUUGCGCUGUUUCCAUCUGAUCACGAACCAGUGAGUUCAACAGUGAAUCCUUGCGGAAACACCACAUUGGUUUAAAGUUCAGUGUCUCCAAGCUUGCAUUGCAAACAUGUGCCAGCUGAACUACAACAGAAGUGCCAACAUUCUUCCCAAUAUUCCUCAGAGGUGAUCCGCCAAGAGCACUUACACGGGCAGAAUAUUGGUAACAGUUGUGAAAGAAACCUCAUCCACACUGCAACUAAGAGUUACAGCCCUCAGUUUACCUAGGCCUCUCCUUGCCAAAAGGCCCCAAAUUUUCAGCCAGACCAUUUUAGCUUUGCAAUCAUACAAUGCUCCAUGGUAACACUGACAACUGGUAUCAUGCUAACAGUACUGCGUACUUUAAAGUUACAAAUCUUUGCAGUUUGACACUUACUCAGCUCUUUGUCUAAAUGAGAUAGAUUGGCGACUUGGCAAAGCUUUGUUCUAAAGGCAGCAUUGGAACAGAAAGGGGAUGGGAAAGCUCAACACGAUGCAGCACCUGCUGUCCCUUCUACACCUGCAUCAUGCUAUGUCCCUCAUCUGUCUCACGCCAUCUCAUCUUGAAGUUUGGGCAGUGAUUUAAUUCAUCUACAGUGUUGGUGUGUUGUGUACCUUGCAUUUUUGUGUCCAAUUUCAUAUAUGAAUUGUUAAAAUUUUUGCGACAAUGUUUCCAUGCGUAACCCUGGUACCAGACAUUUCGUCAAGCAUUAAAAAGUACUGCACUGGCAGAGGUGUUGCAACAUCACAGAUGCGUUGCGUUGCUUAAGUGGUGAUUCAUCGAUCUAUGCCGGGCCGAGGCAGCGCUGGGACUGCGCCUGAAAAUACCCCAGCGUUUAGCUUCUGCUUAAGCACAGGAAUGCGUGUAGAUGUUUUGAGAUAUAUGCCUUUAGUCUGUGCACCACAGACGCAGCUGUGGCUAUGCUUGAGGUUUUCUUGUUUUGUUCAGCGUAUGCCUACGAACUGCCCCUUGUGCCUACGAACACGUGGCCAGUCACGGCAAGUCCUCGGGCGAGGAGGAAGAUGGUGGCGGCCGAGCCUUGAUGUGGCGCACCUGUGGUGGCGGAGGUUCGUCGAUCUGCUGCGUGUACUUGGGUCCGAGGCCGUGGUGCAGCCGCACUUUCUCGGGGUCAUUGGUCAUCUCGUCGCUCUUGAGCAGAAAGAAGACGCCCACGUUCAGCUGCGGAAUGUCGUAGAGCACGUUGAGCAGGAGCAUCAUGGCUGUCAGGCCCACCAGCAGGUAUCCUGUAGAGGGGACAGACAAUGUUCUGUCACUAUAACAGUGGCUAUAGAGGGCGUCAUAGAUGACAUCCUUGGAAGGAAAGGCUCUGCGUCUAUCUAGACCACCAACUUUUUACUCUACACCAACAUGGCAAAGCAAGGCACUCCAGAUCGCUUGGAAAUGAACAAAAUUGGGACAGUUUGGAUAGCCAUGAAUGUAACUGUCACAUACAUAGAAGGGGUGUGAGGGGGAAGGGGGCUGAGCUCGAAUAACACGUCUUGAGCUAGGUUGUUCAUCAUAAGGCAAAAACAGCGCACACUUAAUGAAGACUGACAGAGCUCACCACACAUUGAUACACUAGCAUACUUAGGAGCUGUUUUUGAUAGUCACUUGUAUUGGAUUGAACAAAUUAAUGCCGUUUGUAGGAAACUGGCCUAAUUUUAGCUGUUAUGCCUAGGCCAUUUCCAACAAUAUUUGCCUCGUAGUUUGCUUCAUUGCAUACCCACCAUUUCAUACCCACCUAGGUUAUUGUUGUGAAGUACGGGGCCUAACACACAAAGCUUACUUAACACCUAUAUAUUGCAGUUACAAAAGCCUGCUCUGAGAAUAAUAACAUUCUCCUCUGAUAAUUACCCUAGUAGCAUUCUGCUUAAUGACGUUUGUAUCCUUUCUUUUAUGGCUUUAAGAAAUUAUGAAGUUACUUGCCCGAAAAAUACUAAACAUAAGCUUCCCGUACACAA
rnacentral:lncRNA from 1 species